rnacentral:rRNA from 1 species
CAAUAGCGUAUAUUAAAGUUGUUGCAGUUAAAAAGCUCGUAGUUGGAUUUCUGUUUUGGAUGUCCGGUCCGCUCCCUCUGGGAGUGCGUACUUAUGGAUGUUCGAGGCAUUUUUUGUGAGGUCGCUUUUCUGCCAUUAAGUUGGUGGUUUUGCGGGCUUGCAUCGUUUACUGUGAAAAAAUUAGAGUGUUUAAAGCAGGCGUUUGCUCAUUUGAAUACAUUAGCAUGGAAUAAUAAGAUACGGCCUUGGUGGUCUAUUUUGUUGGUUUGCACACCUGGGUAAUGAUUAAUAGGGACAGUUGGGGGUAUUCAUAUUUCAGCGUCAGAGGUGAAAUUCUUGGAUCGCUGAAAGAUGAGCUUAGGCGAAAGCAUUUACCAAGGAUGUUUUCAUUAA